AUUAUACUUAACUACUAAACAUACUGUACUGACAAAUUUAAAUAACUUGCUUUUUUGGUAUACUUAGGAGAGUAUUAACGGUAAAUAUUUUUAAAAAUUUGUUCUCAACAACUGCAUUUUUGUGAGAAAUUUAUAUCUUUUCUCUGAUGAUUUACAUUGUUAAUUUGGGAGCUUUGGGUUUGUGAAAUAAAGUUUACCUCUCUACAAUCUGCAAUAGCAAUCAUUUCUUUUAUAUUAUUGAGCCUUCAAUUUGUGACAAGUACAUGCACCUAAAACCAACAUAUCAAUGCACACACUUAAGAUUUAUAUAUCUUAUUGUACGUAAAUUAUAAUUCAACUCUUCUUCUCCCAACAAAAAGAUGGAAGAAAAUAUGACAGAAAGUCACCCUUUGUUAAUGCUGAUUGGUGGAUAUAUGGUAAAGAAUAAUUCUCUACACUUUUUGUAUUUACCAAAAAAAAACUUUAAAAUAUUUGAAAGUUAAAAUUUAAAAAUAUAUGUCUAAGUCAAAUAAAUACUUUGUGCUUCCAGGAAACUUGCAAAGUGAUACAGAGCCAAAGAUUCCAAUUAGUGGUACAGGAGCUCCUAAAUACCAACAUUAUGCUGGGAUGUGUUCUUGUUGGAUGGACACCCCUGACCUCCAUUCAAUCAAAAUCGAAGUGUUCAGUUCAACUGAAUGCUGACUUGACUUCUACUCCUCUGGAUGUCUUAAAAAAACCAUUCCUGGUUCAAGCCACACCAGCAAAGAACUCAGGACUUGAAAAACAUGGCUUUGGCCCCUUAGAAAAUCACCUUUCAUGAACUGCACUUGAUAGUAUUAGAUAUCCAGUGGCACAACAGGCUAGCAGGUGAUGCUUAUAUACAUGCAUAUGUCCAGCUACAUGAAUUCAUAUAUGUACAGCAUUUCUCAGAGCAAACAUUGGUAGGAAAAAUGUGAACCAGCUGCUAUUAACUACAUUUUACAAAGAAAAUCUUCCUGUACAUUUUCUGUGGGGUUAAAAUUGUCAUUAGGUUGUUGUCGUUGUUUUUAUCAAAAAGAUAAGGUGGAUUGUUUUGAUAAUACAGUUAUUUAAAAAUAAGCUCUAGGAAUAUCAGUUGGAGCAUUUAAGUAAUUCAUAUAGUGUACUUCCGAAAAGUCUUUUUCCAUAACUUCAAAAUACUUUCAAGAGUUUUUCUGAUCAAUCUUGGCCACAUAUAAUGAGUAAAGAACAGACAUUUUUGUUUUCAAGUGAAAAACUUAUAGCCUAAAAUGGUUAAAUGACAAAUGGCUUAUUGAAGUUGGCCCAGUGGGUCCCUGACAAUGGAAUGAUUAAAAUAGUCUACAUACUGUUUGACCUUCAACAUUAACAUUCAUUGAUUAAUAUAUAUCAGUUUUACCGUAAUGAGCUAUUUCUUCUUUGCCCUUUUUACAUUGUUUCCUCCUCUUCUAUAAUUACGACUGACUUUUGAAUUCCAUCUACAGAGUAGAUAAAUUCUUUAUUAUGGUGAUUCUAUCUAAAGCUGAAAUGACUGCUAAACUAUUCAAAACAAUUAGCAGGGACAACUGCCAUGAAUGUGGUUCUCAAGGCCCACAAACAGCCAUCAAAACUAAAGCUACAACCUACAGUCUUCCAUGUAUCCUUCACCUGGUCAAGUUUAUGGCUUCAUCCUUGUGCUUCCUGAGGCUUGAUUUGGAUGUCUGCCACAGGACUUUACCCAUCUUGACUUAUAAUUUGCUGCCUAUAUGGGCAUCUCCCUCCUUGGACUGUAAGCUCCUUGAGGGCAGUAACAAUGUCAUGUCAUCUUUGUAUUGUGUCAUCCCUCACAGUACCCAGCGCAGCUUUGUGUACAACUGGUCCUGAAAGCUUCCUCAGCUCAUUCCAGCCCUCAGGUAUCUUGUUCUCCUCUGAACUGCUGUGGUACUUAAGCAUGCACUGAAUUAAAAUAAUUUGUAGUAUAACCCAAAGGGAGAUUCUGUUUACGCAAAGUCUCAUUUACAGUGAUUCAUUCAGGUGGGCAACAAACAGUCCAGCCAAGAAUUGGCACUGUACCGGAGCCGUGGAAAGCAUCAUGCUGCCUAUUCAUGUUUUCCCCUCUGCUGCCUGUCACGCGUCUUCAGUGACGGCACAGCCAAGGCUCUGAUGGAGUGCCCUUGCCAUUAGCCUAUGGCCAUCUGUCAUGCCAGGUUGUAAAUGACAGCAGGUCAAGGGAAACAGGCAGGCAGCCAGAACCAGGAAACUGGGAUACAGAUAAAACAUGAGGGUCACAACAGCAAUGGAGUUAGUCAGAAGUCAUUAACCAAAAAAAAAAAAAAAAGUCAAAAGGACACUGACAGCAGAGGACAGAGAAUGAUAAAAGGCCAACAAUGAACAACCGGAAAAUCAGCAAGAGUUGAAGGUUAGCCCAAAGUAGAGGGUUAUUACACUCAGAUGAGGUUACACACACAGCUGCAGAGACAUGCUGACAGGAUUGAAAGAAGGCACUUGUCACACAACUUUAAAUAACAGUCCCGUGACUGAACCUACUAUCAAAAGUGCACUUUGAACUAACUUUUCUAAAAUAAAUCUUGUAACAUCUUAUGAAAAGCACAAUUAUAUUACAUUGUGUUCAUACCUAAGGAAAGCCUUCAUUUAUGAAAUUUACACAUUUUAAAUAGUCCACAAUUUUUUGCUAUCCCGUUUCAUGUUUUCUUCUGUUUUAUAACACAUCAGGAAUUUUACAAAUUGUAAGAUACUUAAGGAAUACUUGAUUCAUUGUACACACUGCUUUUAUCAUGCUGACAAACUGACAUACAAACCAACAAGACUUGAACCAUCUUCUAGUUCACUGAGGCCACACCUAAUCUC
rnacentral:lncRNA from 1 species